AGAUGGCAUCGUCGACACAAUAACAAAUACGACAAUUUGAUAACAGACCGGCUAAGAAAAUGUCAGAAUCAAACAAGGAUCUCAAAGACUUUGAUUGGAAACUCAAGUUAGCAUUGGAGAGUAACAAAGUGAGCGCACUUAAUACGCCGAUCGUCGAAUUAACAUUACACACAAACAGUGACUCGUGUUCUGUGGAAAUGGACUCCCUUGGUCUCGACAACUUAAUUGGCAAGAUUAAAGAAGCCCUUUCGAAAACUACAAAUCAAGUCUCCAAUUGAUCUACUAUCACUGUUCUAAUAAAUCUAACAAGUCACCUAAUGAGUCUGUAUAAAAAUCUGGUA